rnacentral:rRNA from 1 species
AUGAACGCUGGCGGCGUGCCUAAUACCUGCCAGUCGAGCGAACAGACGAGGAGCUUGCUCCUCUGACGUUGGCGGCGGACGGGUGAGUAACACGUGGAUAACCUACCUAUAAGUCUGGGAUAACUUCGGGAAACCGGAGCUAAUACCGGAUAAUAUAUUGAACCGCAUGGUUCAAUAGUGAAAGAUGGUUUUGCUGUCACUUAUAGAUGGAUCCGCGCGGCAUUAGCUAGUUGGUAAGGUAACGGCCUAGCAAGGCAGCGAUGCGUAGCCGACGUGAGAGGGUGGUCGGCCGCCUGGGAAGGGAGACGCGGUCCAUACUCCUGCGGGAGGCAGCAGUAGCGAAUGUUCGGCAGUGGGCGAAAGCCUGGCACAGCAAGCCGACGUGAGUUAUGAAGGUCUUGGGGUCGUAAAGCUCUGUUUUGGGGGAAGAACAGCUGUGGAAUGUGACGUGGAGGUCGUGACGGUACCGGAUCAAGAAGCCCCGGCUAACUACGUG